ensembl:lncRNA
CGUGAAGCGGAUUGAAAGUGCCGGAGCUGCAAAGUGCUGAGAAAGCGGAGGACCGUCCGCUGGAUUAACACCAACAGGAACUUGGAACAAAAAAGUCAAUCGGGUCGCAUCACAGCAACAAGUACCGCACAGCUGCAAACGCUCCAAAACAACGACAGCGGCUCUGACUCAUUCACAGAAAUGUGGUGGAUACCUAUCAGACCUUUUACGGAGCAGUGACAUUCAUAUGUUCCCCUCUAUGGACUUCCUAUGACACAGCAUUGACCUGCAGGGGCACACAAGAUCAACGUUCUCACAUUAGCCAGAAAUGGUCCCGAAAAUCAUUCUGCAGCAUGACGAUGACCCCGAACAUACAACAACAGAUGGUUUCCCCUCCAAUACACUCCCAAAUCCAGAUUAUAUGAAUGGACAGA